rnacentral:rRNA from 1 species
UACGUAGGUGACAAGCGUUGUCCGGAUUUACUGGGCGUAAAGAGCGCGCAGGCGGUCGUUCAAGUCGAGUGUGAAAGCCCCCGGCUCAACUGGGGAGGGUCAUUCGAUACUGCGGGUCUCGAGUCCGGGAGAGGUGAGUGGAAUUCCUAGUGUAGAGGUGAAAUUCGUAGAUAUUAGGAAGAACACCAGUGGCGAAGGCGGCUCACUGGCCCGGUACUGACGCUGAGACGCGAAAGCGUGGGGAGCGAACAGG